rnacentral:rRNA from 1 species
UACGUAGGGACCAAGCGUUGUUCGGAUUUACUGGGCGUAAAGGGCGCGUAGGCGGCUUAACAAGUCACUUGUGAAAUCUCCGGGCUUAACUCGGAACGGCCAAGUGAAACUGUCAAGCUAGAGUGCAGAAGGGGAAAUCGGAAUUCUUGGUGUAGCGGUGAAAUGCGUAGAUAUCAAGAGGAACACCUGAGGUGAAGACGGGUUGCUGGGCUGACACUGACGCUGAGGCGCGAAAGCCAGGGGAGCAAACGGG